rnacentral:tRNA from 1 species
UCUCUGAUGGUCCAAUGGCAAAGACUCUGCACUUCUGAUGCAGGGGGCCUGGAUUUGAUCCCUGGUCAAGGAG